CUCUCUCUCUUCAAAAUAAGUAAACAUUUUUUUUUUUUUUAAAGAAUCAAACACCUAGAAAAUAAGACUGCAGAAUUGGAGCAAUGCAACAAGAGCAAAUGACGUGGUUGAGGGAAGUCUUACUGGAGUCAAAAGCCUGAGAAAAAUGAAUGCAUGCAUUGGCCAAGAAGCAGUCAAGUAUUAAAGGGAUAGUCUAAGACUGGCUGAAAGAGGCUUGAUAUAGUCCAGAUAUAUUGACCCAAGCUCAGAUAUACAGAAUAAUUAAAGAGGACCUCAUCUAGGAAAAACAAUCUUCCAGA